UUUCUUUCCUUCCAAGUUUAAUUCAUUAUUCACAACAAUCUGGAUGUGAUACUUUGUUGCCACUUGCAGACUCUGUGAAAAUAUACUUUUUACUCACUUAUCUGUCAACAAUGAGGAAAUAUAUUUUUUCCUGGAUUGACUUUCUUUCUUUUAUUUCUCACUAUUCAGUAUCUGGACUAUACAGUUCUCCUGGGCAAUUUAUCUGCCCUAUUUCCGGCAGUUAUUAUUGCAACUAGAAUCAGUAUAGUAUUGACAGAAAUCUCUUGGGAUGAAUUAUAUCCAUCUCUUCUGAGACUACCUCAUCAUCAAUCUUCCCAUUUUUUCUAUCAUCAUUUUAAUCAGUACCUGCUUGCCUCCGGCUCCUCUUCCUCUAUAGGCUUGCAUCCAGGCUCUGUGCAUUGCACGGCGAUCCUACCCGCAUGCUUAAGAGGAUCAUUUCCUCUUUUUCCCAUCCCUCCUUCCAUCUAUCUGGGAUUCUCCAUCUGGGACUUUGAGCCAAUCACGGCCAAUCAUUCAGGGUUGUUUUAGUCCAUUUUUACAGGUAAAUAUAUUCUUUACAAUUAUUAUUUAUUUUUUUCGUUAAAGUCCACAGC